rnacentral:misc_RNA from 1 species
UGGUUGAUCGACACUGGGGUUGAACUGCGGCGUAUCCGCGUUGUUGUCGAAGUUCAGGAUCUGCGACAAAAAGAUCACGCCGUUGAGGUCGAGCGACUUGUCGUUCUGCAGUACGUACGCGAGCAUCGCGCCGCGAGUGGUGCCGUAACUUUCGCCGAACAGGUACUUCGGGGAAUUCCAGCGCCCGUGGCGCGACAGGAACUCGACGAUGAAGUUGGCGAACGUGUGCACGUCCUGGUCGACGCCGAAGAAUGCCUUCUCCUUGUCUUCUCCGCGCAGGUGGCCGAACCCCGUGCCGGGC